CCUACGGGUGGCAGCAGUGAGGAAUAUUGCUCAAUGGGCGCGAGCCUGAUCCAGCCACGUCGCGUGAAGGAUGACUGCCCUACGGGUUGUAAACUUCUUUUAUAAAGGAAUACAGUGAGGCACGUGUGCCUUUUUGUAUGUACUUUAUGAAUAAGGAUCGGCUAACUCCGUGCCAGCAGCCGCGGUAAUACGGAGGAUCCGAGCGUUAUCCGGAUUUAUUGGGUUUAAAGGGAGCGUAGAUGGGUUGGUAAGUCAGUUGUGAAAGUUUGCGGCGCAACCGUAAAAUUGAAAUUGAUCCUGGCAGUCUGGAGUACAGUUGAGGGAGGCGGAAUUCGUGGUGUAGCGGUGGAAUGCUUAGAUAUCACGAAGAACUACGAUUGCGAAGGCAGCUUACUAAACUGCAACUGACAUUGAUGCUCGAAAGUGUGGGUAGCAAACAGGAUUAGAUACCCCUGUAGUC
rnacentral:rRNA from 1 species